GACGAACGCUGGCGGCGUGCUUAACACAUGCAAGUCGAACGGAAAGGCCCUGCUUUUGUGGGGUGCUCGAGUGGCGAACGGGUGAGUAACACGUGAGUAACCUGCCCUUGACUUUGGGAUAACUUCAGGAAACUGGGGCUAAUACCGGAUAGGAGCUCCUGCUGCAUGGUGGGGGUUGGAAAGUUUCGGCGGUUGGGGAUGGACUCGCGGCUUAUCAGCUUGUUGGUGGGGUAGUGGCUUACCAAGGCUAUGACGGGUAGCCGGCCUGAGAGGGUGACCGGCCACAUUGCGACUGAGAUACGGCCCAGACUCGAACGGGAGGCAGCAGUGGAGAAUAUUGCACAAUGGGCGGAAGCCAGAUGCAGCAACGCCGCGUGCGGGAUGACGGCCUUCGGGUUGUAAACCGCUGUCGCCUGUGACGAAGCGUGAGUGACGGUAAUGGGUAAAGAAGCACCGGCUAACUACGUG
rnacentral:rRNA from 1 species